UACAUUGGGUGCAAACGUUGCUCGGAAUUAUUGGGCGUAAAGCGCGCGUAGGCGGUUACUUAAGUCGGAUGUGAAAGCCCUCGGCUUAACUGAGGAAGUGCACCCGAAACUGAGUAGCUAGAGUACGAAAGAGGGUCGCGGAAUUCCCGGUGUAGAGGUGAAAUUCGUAGAUAUCGGGAGGAACACCGGUGGCGAAGGCGGCGACCUGGGUCGAGACUGACGCUGAGGCGCGAAAGCGUGGGGAGCAAACAGG
rnacentral:rRNA from 1 species